AACGUAGGAGACGAACGUUAUCCGGAGUUACUGGGCGUAAAGGGCGUGCAGGCGGUCUGAUAAGUUCGGCGUGAAAUAUUCCGGCUUAACCGGGAUAGGUCGUCGGAGACUGUCGGACUAGAGGGUGAUAGAGGCGUGUGGAAUUCUGGGUGUAGUGGUGAAAUGCGUAGAGAUCCGGAGGAACACCAGUGGCGAAGGCGACACGCUGGGUCACACCUGACGCUAAAGCGCGACAGCAUGGGGAGCGAACGGG
rnacentral:rRNA from 1 species